AGAAUCAACGCUGGCGGCGUGCCUAACACAUGCAAGUCGCACGAGAAAGGGUAGCAAUACCUGAGUACAGUGGCGCACGGGUGAGUAACACGUGAAUAAUCUACCUCCGAGUGGGGAAUAACCUAGGGAAACCUGGGCUAAUACCGCAUAACACUUACGAGUCAAAGCAGCAAUGCGCUUGGAGAGGAGUUCGCGGCAGAUUAGCUAGUUGGUGGGGUAAUGGCCCACCAAGGCGAUGAUCUGUAUCCGGCCUGAGACGGGGCGUCGACGGAACGACGACCUGGAAACGUGAAACACGGUCCAGACUCCUACGGGAGGCAGCAGUGGGGAAUUUUGCGCAAUGGGGGAAACCCUGACGCAGCAACGCCGCGUGGAGGAUGAAAUAUCUUGGUAUGUAAACUCUUUCGAUGGGGAAGAUUAUGACGGUACCCAUAGAAGAAGCCCGGCUAACUUCGUGCCAGCAGCCGC
rnacentral:rRNA from 1 species